GGAAAAAGCGGGAACUGCUGCUAAUACCGGAUGUGCCGAAAGGUGAAAGAUUUAUUGCCUGAAGAUGAGCUCGCGUCUGAUUAGCUAGUAGGUGGGGUAAGAGCGCACCUAGGCGACGAUCAGUAGCUGGUCUGAGAGGACGAUCAGCCACACUGGGACUGAGACACGGCCCAGACUCCUACGGGAGGCAGCAGUGGGGAAUUUUCCGCAAUGGGCGAAAGCCUGACGGAGCAAUACCGCGUGAGGGAGGAAGGCUCUUGGGUUGUAAACCUCUUUUCUCAAGGAAGAAUACAGUGACGGUACUUGAGGAAUAAGCAUCGGCUAACUCCGUGCCAGCAGCCGCGGUAAUACGGAGGAUGCAAGCGUUAUCCGGAAUGAUUGGGCGUAAAGCGUCCGCAGGUGGCCAUGUAAGUCUGCUGUCAAAAGAGUGUAAGCUCACCCUCGUAAAAAGCAGUGGAAAACUGCAUAAACUAGAGUACGGUCGGGGGUAGAGGGAUUCCCUGGGUGUAGCGGGUGAAAUGCGUAAAAAUUGGAAAAAACAUCGGUGGGCAAAAGCGCUCUGCCUGGGGCCUUGUACUGACACUGAGGGGACGAAAAGCUUA
rnacentral:rRNA from 2 species